CCAGGGCCACACCUCCCUGAAUCUCACCUGAUUUCUGAAGCUAAGCAGGGUUGGGCCUGGUUAGUACUUGGACGGGAGAAAUUGUGAAAGGAGAUAUAAUUCUGGC
rnacentral:rRNA from 1 species